GGCUAUACUGUUAAAGUGCAACGGUCCAACAACAUUUGGCGCAUCUGCAAGUGUGCGUCUGGGAGGAGGUUGCUCUAUCAUCUCUUCUUCAAUUCUAUGUGAAGAUGCCUUCGGUGAGGGUUGUAAUAGCCUUUCAGGAGAAGUGAAUAGUUCUCUGGACGGACGUCGAACUUUCUUCCCCCUCCUAUCACUCCAUCCUUCUAGAAGAGGUUGACUUUUCUUACUUUUGGUUUGAACUACUUCCUGCAUACACAAGAAACAAAAACCCUAAAAGCACUUUAUAUAAAAAAACAAAAAUAAAAAAUAAAAAUAAAACUAAAACAAAAUAUAGACAAAGUCAAAUUUAAUCAAUUUACACUACUUGAAAAGUUAAACCACGAGUCCCCGGCAACGGUGCCAAAAACUUGUUAAGCCCCUGGCAAGUGUACUAGAUCGUAUCAAGUAAUAAUAGAAAGUAAGUCCAAGAUCGUUUCCCAAGGGACACUUAGGCCUUAUCUUUCAUGUAAAUUGAUUACAUAAGACUUAAGUAAAGAUUGAAUUUAGGGUUUUGAAUGCAAGAUCUAAAAUAAUCAUGCAAAUGCAAAUUGAAUCAAUUGGCAAAUAAAAGAUAUAUAUGAAUGG
rnacentral:lncRNA from 1 species